AGAGUUUGAUCCUGGCUCAGGAUGAACGCUAGCGGCAGGCCUAACACAUGCAAGUCGAACGGUAACAUUUCCAGCUUGCUGGAAGAUGACGAGUGGCGCACGGGUGCGUAACGCGUAUACAACUUACCUAUAACUAAAGGAUAGCCCCGAGAAAUUGGGAUUAAUACUUUAUAGUACUACGAAAUGGCAUCGUUUUGUAGUUAAAGAUUUAUCGGUUAUAGAUAGGUAUGCGUCCCAUUAGUUUGUUGGUGAGGUAACGGCUCACCAAGACUACGAUGGGUAGGGGGUCUGAGAGGAUUAUCCCCCACACUGGUACUGAGACACGGACCAGACUCCUACGGGAGGCAGCAGUGAGGAAUAUUGGUCAAUGGAGGAAACUCUGAACCAGCCAUGCCGCGUGCAGGAAGAAUGCCCUAUGGGUUGUAAACUGCUUUUAUAUAGGAAGAAACCCCUGAACGUGUUCGG
rnacentral:rRNA from 1 species